CUCCCAAACAAAGCUCCAAUAACUCGCCAUUCAUAUUGUCCCAUGUUCAUUUGAUUUGAUUUUUUGUCCCAUACAAGAAUAUAUAUGGCUUACGAGUGGGUAUCUCCACCAUUUACAAGUAUUCAAACAGGAGGGGGUGGUGAUGACCCCCAGGGACUUUACCUACAUUUCAUUUGAUUUGUUUUAUUGUCCCAUACAAGUAUAUAUAUGGUUUAGGGGUGGGGAUCUUGACUGUUUACAAGUUUUCAAACAAGAGGGGGUGGGGUGACCCCCUCGGGACUUCCCUUUUAUAUCAUUUCAUUUGUUUUAUUGUCCCCUACAAGAAUACAUAUUGUUUAGGGUGGGGAUCUGGACCGUUUACAAGAUAAUAGCACAUUCUCAAAUUGAACAGGGUGGGGGCGACCCCCAGGAACUUCUCUUUAAUUUCAUUUGAUUAGCCUUGUUGUCCCAUACAAGAAUAUAUAUGGUUUAGGGGUGGGGAUGUUGACCGUUUACAAGUUUUCAAACAAGAAAGGGUGGGGUGACCCCCUCAGGACUUCCCUUUUAUUUCAUUUUCAUUUGUUUUAUUGUCCCCUACAAGAAUAUAUAUGGUUUAGGGGUGGGGAUCUGGACCGUUUACAAGAUAAUAGUACAUUCUCAAAUUGAACGGGGUGGGGGUGACCCCAAGGAACUUCCAUUUAAUUUCAUUUGAUUAGUUUUAUUGUCCCAUACAAGAAUAUAUAUGGUUUAGGUGUGGGGAUGUUGACCGUUUACAAGUUUUCAAACAAGAGGGGGUGGGGUGACCCCCUAGGGACUUCCCUUUUAUUUCAUUUCAUUUGUUUUAUUGUCCCCUAUAAGAAUAUAAAUGGUUUAGGGGUGGGGAUCUGGACCGUUUACAAGAUAAUAGCACAUUUUCAAAUUGAACGGGGUGGGGAGGACCCCGGGGACUUCCCUUUAAUUUCAUUUCAUUGGUUUUAUCGUCCCAUUCAAGAAUAUAUGAGGUUUAGGGGUGGGGAUCUGGACCGUUUACAAGAUAAAAGCAUAUUCUCAAAUUGAAGGGGGUGGGGAUGACCCCCUAGGGACCCC
rnacentral:lncRNA from 1 species